GAAAUAAUUUUUUUUUUUGUGUAAUCUACAUCAGAAGAGAGCUACACACCUACCAACACAUACUUUAAGCUGAUGUAUACAUCAUUAUAAUAGAUAUUAGCAGUGCGAAAUUUUAUUAAAGAAUUGAGGAAAAAGGAAUUUGCUGAAUAGACAAGCCGAAUUUAGGAAAUUCGACCAUUGCUAUGAGCUUUUCUUUGGCAUACAGCACGCGUAGAAAUCGAUUCAUGUGGCCAAUGAUGAAGCUUUCAAUAGAGUUGUGUCGACCACGUGUUCAACCAAUGUUAAUUCAUAGCAGCGCCUUUUAUAACCUAAAUUCGGUAUUGAUCAUAUACGAAAACUAGUUUUAAAUUGAAAAUAAAAAUGAAAAGUAAAAAGUGGGAGGAAUUGGAUAUUCCUCUAAGCGAUGCUGUUUUAAAAACAGUUAAACAAUUGAAUUUUUCAUCCAUGACACCAAUUCAGGCUGCAUGUAUACCAAUUUUAUUACAAGGAAAAGAUGUAGCUGCAGAAGCUGUUACAGGCAGUGGGAAGACACUAGCGUUCCUUAUUCCAAUGUUAGAAUUGCUUCAGAAAAGAGAGGAAAAAUGGAAGAAAAUGGAAAUCGGUGGAAUCAUAAUUUCUCCUACUCGUGAAUUAGCCACACAGAUAAACGAAGUUUUAGCACAAUUUCUUGAAAGAAUUUCAAGUUUAAAGCAAAUACUUCUUGUCGGUGGUACUACAGUUGACGAGGAUAUUGCAAAACUUCGAGAAGGCUGCAAUAUUAUUGUAGCCACCCCUGGUAGAUUGGAAGACAUAUUAUCUAAUUGCAAGGAUGUUAACUUAGCUGCUAGUGUGAAGUCCUUGGAACUUCUAGUGCUGGAUGAAGCUGAUAGACUUCUUGAUCUAGGAUUUUCAGUAACCCUAAACACAAUUUUAAGUUUCCUACCAAGAUUGCGCAGAACCGGAUUAUUCUCAGCAACACAAACUAAACAAUUGCAACAGCUUAUCAGAGCUGGCUUAAGGAACCCAGUAUUAGUGACAAUCAAAGAAAAAUCAAGUGUAUCAACUCCAUUGAAUCUGAUCAAUAACUAUGCCAUAACAAAUGCUGAAACUAAACUUGCUCAAAUGCUUGAAUUCAUAAAGAUAAAAGGAAUAAAUUUAAAGUACAUGAUAUUCUUCUCCACUUGUGCAUGCGUUGACUAUUUCAGUUAUGUCAUCAAAGCGAUAUUACCAUACUCAAACGUAUUUGCGUUACAUGGAAAAAUGAAGAAUAAACGAUACAAGGUAUUUGAACAGUUCCGUGCUACGGAAAGUGGUCUUCUCUUAUGCACAGAUGUAAUGGCUCGUGGUAUUGAUAUACCUGAAGUGGAUUGGGUACUGCAAUACGAUCCCCCUUCGACAGCUAGUAGUUUCGUUCAUAGAUGUGGAAGGACUGCCAGAAUUGGCAAUGAAGGCAAUGCUCUAUUAUUGCUACUAGAAUCCGAAGACGCAUAUAUUGAAUUCAUCAAGAGGAAUCAAAAAGUAGAAUUAUCAAUGAUACAAUUGAAGGAACCUUCUUUAGUCGAAAAGUGUUUAAAAACAAUGAGGAAUCUUCAAAAAAAGGAUCGAGUCCUUUUCGAUAAAGCAAAUAGGGCUUUUGUAUCAUACAUACAAGCAUAUAAUAAACACGAAUGCAAUCUAAUACUGAGGCUGAAGGAUCUCGAUUUAGGAAAAGUAGCAAUGGGUUUUGGUUUAUUAAAAAUGCCAAAAAUGCCAGAACUGAAAGGACGAGAUGUCUCGUCUUUUCAGGAUCCUCAGAUAGAUAUUAACACUCUGGCCUACAAGGACAAACAACAAGAAUUAGUUAGACAAGAAAAGUUAAAUACUUACAGAGAAACCGGUAUUUGGCCCGGUAAGCACAAACGUAAACAGAAACAGACAGAAGCUUGGUCUGAGGCUAAGCAGAAAAAAGUAGAAAAAAAAGAAAAACGUAAUAAAAGGAAAGAAAAAAAGGCUUUGGCUGGUCCUGUGAAGAAGAAACGAAAAAAGACUAGCAAGGAGGAUCUGGCAGAAUUAGCAAAAGACAUAGCUUUGAUAAAGAAAUUCAAAAGGAAAAAGAUUUCUCAACAAGAGUUUGAUGAAGCCUUUGGUGUCAAAUAAAACACUAUGACUCUAUUUACAACAAGUGACAUUUAAGUACAACUGUACCUCGAGUUAUAUUUCGUUUGUAUUAUUGAGAAAUUAACAAGUGAACUAACAAACAUGUGGCAAAACGAUUCAGCUAAAAAUUAUGUUGGCUACAAAGAUGUCAUCAUUGGAAACGUGGCUCUACUACAUAUAACAAGGAAUAUGUCAAACAUAAAAUCAGUG